rnacentral:tRNA from 1 species
GAGGGUGUAGCUCAGGGGUUAGAGCGCUAGUUUGUCAAACUAGAAGUCGCGGGUUCAAAUCCCGUCUCUCUCG